AUACGGGGGGAGCAAGCGUUGUCCGGAAUUACUGGGCGUAAAGGGCGUGUAGGCGGCUUGAUAAGUUAGAUGUGAAAGCCUUCUGCUUAACGGAAGAAUUGCAUUUGAUACUGUCAGGCUUGAGUUCGAGAGAGGGUAGUGGAAUUCCCAGUGUAGCGGUGAAAUGCGUAGAUAUUGGGAAGAACACCAGUAGCGAAGGCGGCUACCUGGCUCGUAACUGACGCUAAUGCGCGAAAGCGUGGGGAGCAAACAGGAUUAGAAACCCUAGUAGUCC
rnacentral:rRNA from 1 species